rnacentral:rRNA from 1 species
ACUACUAUGCUGUUAAUUCCGCCCUGAGUAGUACCAGCGUCAGCUUUWAACUCAAAGAAUUUGGCGGCACCCUCCCCCGCUAGAGGAGCCUGCCCCAUAAAUGAUGACCCACGCUACGAUAGUCCUAGGUUUAUAGUUUGUAUACCGCCGUUUAGGGUGUAUUAGGAAGUACACUCGAGAUAAGAUUAAUUAGUAUAUCAGGUCAAGGUGCAGCCUAUGCAUAGGAGGUGGUGGGCUACAUUGAAAAUAUUUACACGGAAUUUAAUUAUAAUAGUUAAAUAAAGGUGGAUUUAUAAGUAAAACAUUAGGUUAUCAUGUUUGAAGGGG